rnacentral:rRNA from 1 species
UACGUAGGGGGCGAGCGUUAUCCGGAUUUACUGGGCGUAAAGCGCGUUAAGGCGGUUGGCAAAGUUGGUUGUGAAAUCUCUGGGCUCAACCCAGAAAUUGCGACCAAUACUGGUCGACUAGAGUGCAAGAGAGGAAGGUGGAAUUCCCGGUGUAGUAGUGAAAUGCGUAGAUAUCGGGAGGAACACCGGUGGCGAAGGCGGGUCUCUGGGCAGUAACUGACGCUGAGGAGCGAAAGCGUGGGGAGCGAACAGG